UAAGAAGGGGGCAAGCGUUGUUCGGAGUUACUGGGCGUAAAGGGCGCGUAGGCGGAUUCGUAAGUCAGAGGUGAAAGCCCUGGGCUCAACCCGGGAAAUGCCUUUGGAACUGCGAGUCUUGAGUACGGGAGAGGAUGGCGGAAUACCCAGUGUAGAGGUGAAAUUCGUAGAUAUUGGGUAGAACACCGGUGGCGAAGGCGGCCAUCUGGCCUGUAACUGACGCUGAGGCGCGAAAGCGUGGGGAGCAAACAGG
rnacentral:rRNA from 1 species